rnacentral:rRNA from 1 species
UACGGAGGAUCCAAGCGUUAUCCGGACUUAUUGGGUUUAAAGGGUGCGUAGGCGGAUUGAUAAGUUAGAGGUGAAAUGUCCGAGCUCAACUCGGGAACUGCCUCUAAUACUGUUGAUCUAGAGAGUAGAUGCGGUAGGCGGAAUGUAUGGUGUAGCGGUGAAAUGCUUAGAGAUCAUACAGAACACCGAUUGCGAAGGCAGCUUACCAAUCUAUAUCUGACGUUGAGGCACGAAAGCGUGGGGAGCAAACAGG